GCUUCAUCCAGGCCUUGGCUUCCUCACACGUGAAACAGGAUGAGAGCACACACCUCAUGGACUGCCAAGAAGAGCAACGUGCAAUGUGUGAGGCUGGGCAUGGUGGCGCGUGCCUGUAAUCC